CCUCCUCCCCCUGGAACGUCGUCCGUCGGUUUUGCCCAAUGGCUGGGGCAUUACGGGAUAAUCUUGGUGCUCUUUGAGACGCCAUCUCGAUUUGCACUCAUAAAUUAUGAUGGGGUCAAACUUUUUCGUCCAAAAGCCUUGGAGGAUAUCUGGUCAGAAUUCAUCAACAUGGAUACGGCACAAAACGU